rnacentral:rRNA from 1 species
GACGAACGCUGGCGGCGUGCUUAACACAUGCAAGUCGAACGGAAAGGCCCUGCUUUUGUGGGGUGCUCGAGUGGCGAACGGGUGAGUAACACGUGAGUAACCUGCCCUUGACUUUGGGAUAACUUCAGGAAACUGGGGCUAAUACCGGAUAGGAGCUCCUGCUGCUUGGUGGGGGUUGGAUAGUUUCGGCGGUUGGGGAUGGACUCCCGGCUUAUCAGCUUGUUGGUGGGGUAGUGGCUUACCAAGGCUUUGACGGGUAGCCGGCCUGAGAGGGUGACCGGCCGCAUUGGCACGGAGAUACGGCCCAGACGCCUACGGGAGGCAGCAGGGGGGAAUAUUGCGCAAUGGGCGGAAGCCUGAUGCAGCAACGCCGCGUGCGGGAUGACGGCCUUCGGGUUGUAAACCGCUUUCGCCUGUGACGAGGCGUGAGUGACGGUAAUGGGUAAAGAAGCACCGGCUAACUACGUG